rnacentral:tRNA from 1 species
GCGGGGAUAGCUCAGCUGGGAGAGCGUCAGACUGAAGUAACACUUCAUCAUCAAUCUGAAGGUCAUGUGUUCGAUCCACAUUCACCGCA